GAUGAACGCUGGCGGCGUGCCUAAUACAUGCAAGUCGAGCGAACGGACGAGAAGCUUGCUUCUCUGAUGUUAGCGGCGGACGGGUGAGUAACACGUGGAUAACCUACCUAUAAGACUGGGAUAACUUCGGGAAACCGGAGCUAAUACCGGAUAAUAUUUUGAACCGCAUGGUUCAAAAGUAAAAGACGGUCUUGCUGUCACUUAUAGAUGGAUCCGCGCUGCAUUAGCUAGUUGGUAAGGUAACGGCUUACCAAGGCAACGAUGCAUAGCCGACCUGAGAGGGUGAUCGGCCACAUUGGAACUGAGACACGGUCCAGACUCCUACGGGAGGCAGCAGUAGGGAAUCUUCCGCAAUGGGCGAAAGCCUGACGGAGCAACGCCGCGUGAGUGAUGAAGGUCUUCGGAUCGUAAAACUCUGUUAUUAGGGAAGAACAUAUGUGUAAGUAACUGUGCACAUCUUGACGGUACCUAAUCAGAAAGCCACGGCUAACUACGUG
rnacentral:rRNA from 1 species